rnacentral:rRNA from 1 species
UACGUAGGGUGCGAGCGUUGUCCGGAAUUAUUGGGCGUAAAGAGCUUGUAGGCGGUUUGUCGCGUCUGCCGUGAAAAUUCGAGGCUCAACCCCGAACUUGCGGUGGGUACGGGCAGACUAGAGUGUGGUAGGGGAGACUGGAAUUCCUGGUGUAGCGGUGAAAUGCGCAGAUAUCAGGAGGAACACCGAUGGCGAAGGCAGGUCUCUGGGCCACUACUGACGCUGAGAAGCGAAAGCAUGGGGAGCGAACAGG